GACGAACGCUGGCGGCGUGCCUAAUACAUGCAAGUAGAACGCUGAAGGAGGAGCUUGCUUCUCUGGAUGAGUUGCGAACGGGUGAGUAACGCGUAGGUAACCUGCCUGGUAGCGGGGGAUAACUAUUGGAAACGAUAGCUAAUACCGCAUAAGAGUAGAUGUUGCAUGACAUUUGCUUAAAAGGUGCAAUUGCAUCACUACCAGAUGGACCUGCGUUGUAUUAGCUAGUUGGUGAGGUAACGGCUCACCAAGGCGACGAUACAUAGCCGACCUGAGAGGGUGAUCGGCCACACUGGGACUGAGACACGGCCCAGACUCCUACGGGAGGCAGCAGUAGGGAAUCUUCGGCAAUGGACGGAAGUCUGACCGAGCAACGCCGCGUGAGUGAAGAAGGUUUUCGGAUCGUAAAGCUCUGUUGUAAGAGAAGAACGAGUGUGAGAGNGGAAA
rnacentral:rRNA from 1 species